rnacentral:rRNA from 1 species
GACGUAGGGAGCGAGCGUUGUCCGGAAUUACUGGGCGUAAAGAGCUCGUAGGCGGGACCGUAAGUCCGAGAGGAAAUCUCAAGGCUCAACUUUGGGGCUUUCUUGGAUACUGCGGUUCUUGAGGAUGAGAGAGGUAAGUAGAAUUCCCGGUGUAGCGGUGAAAUGCGUAGAUAUCGGGAGGAAUACCAGUGGCGAAGGCGGCUUACUGGCUCAUUCCUGACGCUGAGGAGCGAAAGCGUGGGGAGCAAACGGG